UACAGAGGGUGCGAGCGUUAAUCGGAAUUACUGGGCGUAAAGCGUGCGUAGACGGUAGCGUAAGUCAGAUGUGAAAGCCCAGAGCUCAACUCUGGAACUGCCUUCGAAACUAGAGGACUUGGGUACGGGAGAGGUGAGUGGAAUUCCGAGUGUAGAGGUGAAAUUCGUAGAUAUUCGGAAGAACACCAGUGGCGAAGGCGGCUCACUGGCCCGAUACUGACGCUGAGGCACGAAAGCGUGGGGAGCAAACAGG
rnacentral:rRNA from 1 species